UGAGUUUUUUGGGAUUUUUUCUUCACUAAUUUUAGAUAAUUAGAAUUUUAUUAAAUUGAGCCAAAAUGUUAAAAAUAAAAUUUGGGGCCAAAAUAUUAAAAAUAAAAUUUAAGAUCAAAGUGUUAAAACUAAAAUUAUUGGAUAAAUUCAAAAAUCAUUAAUUAUUAAUCAAAUUUUAUCAAAUCUGCUCAAUAAUUAUAACUUGAUUACCUCUGCUCAAUUUUAAAACCUUGUUGUCACUCAUAAUUUAUUGCAGCUUCUUUCUGUUCUUCUUCAUAAUAACGAUGCCGUCGGCGAAACCCUUUGCAGGCAUGCUCCGUGCCCGUCUUAGUUCGGGCUCCGAACAAGAGGAGGACACGGCCCGAACCCGUUUACUACGCCGGGCCACCAAGAACGGCCCAACGGGUACCUGUUCAACCGGCCUCCACCACCAGUUGGUCAGUCCAGGAAAUGGGAAGAUUGGGAACUCUCUUGCUACGUCACCAGCUUCCUCACUAUAGUUAUCCUUGGUGUGGGCCUUAAUGCUAAGCCCGAUCUCACCCUUGAAACUUGGGCCCACAAAGAAGCUCUUAAACGACUCCAACUCGAAUCCUCUUCUUCCCAGGUCCAAUCUGUCGAUGCUGACUGAUCUUUCUUCAUCUCUAUAUCUCUGCUUCUGGGGUUAAGAUGAAAAGGGUAUAGUAUUUCUUCUUUGGUGGAUGAUGCCGAAAAUAAAUGUUAACUAUUGACUUGAAAAAUUGUUCCUUUUUACUGCUAAUUUUGGAUGCUUACUGCAGCAAUUAUAAUGCUUUCUUGCAGGGACAAUUGACAUUCUUUUCAAAUUUUUUUUUUUGGAGUUUGUGUCUCUUUGCUUUAUAAGUACUCCCUCUGUCCCAAUUUUAAGUGUCUUAGUUUGAUUAGGCACAAAGUUUUAAGAAUAAAAGAGGCUUUUGAAUUUUGUUGUCCUAAAUUAAAGACGUAUGUAAUGUACUAAAAUAUCCUUUGAAUCUUGUGAUUUUAAACUUGCCAUAUAGUAUGUUUGAAUUGUAAAUUUACUAAAUAUAGAAAGAGACACUCUUUAUGGGGCAAACCAAAGAGGAAAGUAAGACACUUAAAUAAUUGGGACGGAGGGAGUAUUAUUUUAAAGAUUAUGUUACGAUCUGCUCAUGCUUACUGGUUAGCCUACUUUAGUUGUGUUGAUAAGAUCGGUAGCAAUUCGUUAUAAAAUAUACUUGCUUGGUAGCUAGGCGUGUCAAAUUUGUAGGAUGAUAGGCAGCUACACUAUGUGCACACAAUCAUACAUAUGCACUGGUUUAACAAUUAUGUUGGCAAGAAAACUGCAUUCAAAAGGGUGAAGGAUCAUGCGACUCCUAGUAAUCUCGCUUUACAAGCUUUUUCAUUUAUUAGCUAGUGUUAUAAUUACGAAUGGUAGCUAUGUAUUACUUGAGAUGUGAUGCGCUGCUAAGAAUGAUUUUGCUUUCUUCAGUCUCUUAUUUUGGAUAGUGUGGAAUAACUUUAUUGAUGAUAGAAGAGUUCUAGCUACAGCAAUAUACUACAAAGUGAGAACCUACAAGAACAUAUGGUUCUCUAUGAAGAUAAUCUUCGAUAAAAAUUGGAAUGAUCUUGCGUUUUUCACUUUUUAAGUUAUUCUUCCAUUUUAGUACCUCUGUCCCGCAGUAAGAUUGUUUCUUGAAUGUCUGGGCUUUGAAGUAGAGUCGUCUGUUUGAUGGGUGAGCAGAGUUGUUCAAGCGAUGGGGACCCGCACACCAAGGGUCUUGCUACAUGUCUCUAAUUCUGCUUGCUAUUUAGUUGGUUUUCAUGUAUGAACAAGGUCGAGGCUAAGAGUUGGAACACCUCUUGUAUGAAGUCGCAAGGAUAUACUGCUUUUAUGCCAUAACUUGAGUUGGUUGACUCUAAGAGGCUUCAAUUGUCAAGUACUUGUGGGUUUGAGAAUAGCCAUGUUGGUUAGGAUGUCCGUGUUUGGCUGAAGUUCUUAUAAGAUCAAAGACUUGCUAAGUCUCAGAUGACAGAAUUGUUGGAUGAAAGGGUCGAAUCAAAUGCGAAGUUCAGUCUCAUUACAUGCCCUAUUUGCUCACUACAGUUUCCAUCCAUCCCCAUCAAGGUGGAACUUUUCAUGUCUAAAUUGGUUAAAAUACUCCAUUUAUCGGAUUUUAUUUUAUUUUUAUUUUUUGAUUAAGCACCGGGUGUCCGGGUCUCUUUGAGCCCCGACUAAUCCCGGGGGUGCACAGGCCCUCGGCAAGGAGUUUCCCGCAAGUGCACCACGGGUAAUUCAGGGUUUUACCCUAGUCCGAUGGCCCUCAGAAAUUGUUUGCACCCAGUGGGUUUCGAACUUGAGACCUUGAAAGGGAGCACCCCAAGGUUCAAGCCAAUUACCACCAGGCUUUCACCUCCUAUGGUGUUGGGGGGUUUGGAAUGACCUCUAUCUUGUAUAUUUGAUUCCAAAAGGAGAAUACAUGAAGGAGGGGGAUAUGGAGCCUUACCUCCUCAAAAAUUAUGUAUGGUGUUGGACAUAUCCAACCCUUUACUAUUGGGAUGAUUCAGGGAUAGAAGGUAGUUAACAUAAGCUACUUCACAUAAAUGUAACAUUGUCUAUGCUAGCUUCCAGAUUGUCUGUGUUUCUCAAGGCAUUUUGGUUAAAAGAUGAAUCCCUUUUAUCGGGAAAAGUUUUUGGACAACAAAAGAUAGAAAAGAAACUUUUCUAUUACGGAGUAAAUUCUAAAAGAAGAAGCAGUAGAACACCAUGACUGUUGGGGAUGAUCAUCAAUAGAAAGUGUGUCUUCUUGUGUCUUGCCUUGCUCUAAAGUUUGGCAUUUGCAUUUGAUCCAUUCUCAUCUUCCCUUUUGUGUCUCUAGGCAGUUCCAUAAUGCAAUAAUACAUGUUUACAUCUUCCUGUUAAUAGCUACCAGUUUUGAAAAGGGAAUCAGCAACAGAAUUUGCCCGUCUAUAGCAAGCUCCAAAUAUUGAUUAUGGUCAACCAGAAGUAGCAAUAAGCAUCUCAUCCCUCAAAUUUGGCGACAAUAUUGAUAAUGAGGUACUUCUAUGCACGCGGAUUAUGACUAACCAAGUGGUGAACAUGUGAUGGUUUCUUAAUGGUUACGUCAAGCCCACGUUUCCGAAUACAUUAUGCUGGGGAACUCUGCAUGCUGAAGCAAUCACUUUUAUUAAAACUUUGAAAUUUGUUACGUCUAAAGUUUGGAUUAUGUGAGUUGUCUCAGAAAAGACACGUCUAAUUCUUAUGUUCUGGGAUAGAUCAACUAAUUAUUUAUGCACAAAUGUGGGGCAUCUGUAAAUGCAGUUAGUGUACAUUGUGUUUAGAAACUUAUUGUUUAGCACAUGUGGUGUUGCACUUUUAUCUAUCUAUUCGACAUGUCUCUCGAAAUUAUUUUCCUGCACGGAUAUAAUCUGAAAUCCUGCAACUUUUACGGUCAAUUGGCCUAUAUAAUAGUUGUACACCAUAAUUACUUUGAACAAAAUGGGAUCAAUCUGAGCCAAUUUGUUUGAUGUAAGGCCUGUUUCUUUAAACA